CGUCUGGUCCUGAAUUAUCUGCUUCUUAUCUGGUGUUACUGGUGCAAACUGUAUGGACGUAGCCCCAUUCGAAACACCAUCAGCGAUUGUUUUGGGCAGUGAAUUAAGAUCGUAACUUCGACGAUGAACUGGAAAUCCAUCUGAUGGACCGGGAAAUCGAUGGACCAAACUAAACAGCUUUUCAUUAUAUAUUAGUAUAAUGGAAACAACAACAACAAUUUAGUAAUACUACAAGGAAAUAGAUCGGCCAAACUAAAAUGGUUUUCCUUUAAAUUAGUACAACAGCAACAGCAACA